GUCCCUGUAGCGCAAUGGAUGGUGUGUGUGUGACCUGGACUUCUAAUCCAAAGGUCGUGGGUUUGAAUCCCAUCUGGGAUG